GCCCAGAAGCUGAUAUCCAGCAUGCCAAGGCGAAUUGCAGAAGUCUUAAAAAAGAAGGGUCAACACUGUACACUACAGUGGAAAACCGAUGAAUGAUGAAUAAACAGCGUCUGACUAUAAGAUCCAAGUUGGAUCUGUACUGCAUUUAGUGCUUGUGCUGAGAGGAGGUGGUCCUGUCUACAGUCCCUGGAGCUACCCGGUCCUCAUGUAAUCGUUUCGUAAUGUUUGCUUGUGUAAAGUCUUGAAAGCGAGGACACGCUUCGACGCGCAUCCAUGUAC